rnacentral:rRNA from 1 species
AGAGUUUGAUCCUGGCUCAGGAUGAACGCUAGCUACAGGCUUAACACAUGCAAGUCGAGGGGAAACGACAUCGAAAGCUUGCUUUCGAUGGGCGUCGACCGGCGCACGGGUGAGUAACGCGUAUCCAACCUGCCCAUCACUUGGGGAUAACCUUGCGAAAGUAAGACUAAUACCCAAUGACGUCUCUAGAAGACAUCUGAAGGAGAUUAAAGAUUUAUCGGUGAUGGAUGGGGAUGCGUCUGAUUAGCUUGUUGGCGGGGUAACGGCCCACCAAGGCGACGAUCAGUAGGGGUUCUGAGAGGAAGGUCCCCCACAUUGGAACUGAGACACGGUCCAAACUCCUACGGGAGGCAGCAGUGAGGAAUAUUGGUCAAUGGGCGAGAGCCUGAACCAGCCAAGUAGCGUGCAGGAUGACGGCCCUAUGGGUUGUAAACUGCUUUUAUAAGGGAAUAAAGUGAGCCUCGUGAGGCUUUUUGCAUGUACCUUAUGAAUAAGGACCGGCUAAUUCCGUGCCAGCAGCCGCGGUAAUACGGAAGGUCCGGGCGUUAUCCGGAUUUAUUGGGUUUAAAGGGAGCGUAGGCCGGAGAUUAAGCGUGUUGUGAAAUGUAGACGCUCAACGUCUGCACUGCAGCGCGAACUGGUUUCCUUGAGUACGCACAAAGUGGGCGGAAUUCGUGGUGUAGCGGUGAAAUGCUUAGAUAUCACGAAGAACUCCGAUUGCGAAGGCAGCUCACUGGAGCGCAACUGACGCUGAAGCUCGAAAGUGCGGGUAUCGAACAGGAUUAGAUACCCUGGUAGUCCGCACGGUAAACGAUGGAUGCCCGCUGUUGGUCUGAAUAGGUCAGCGGCCAAGCGAAAGCAUUAAGCAUCCCACCUGGGGAGUACGCCGGCAACGGUGAAACU